AGCAGCCGCGGUAAUUCCAGCUCCAAUAGCGUAUAUUAAAGUUGUUGCAGUUAAAAGCUCGUAGUUGAAUUUCGGGGUCAGUAGAUUGGUCGUGCCACUGGUAUGUACUGGUCUUACUGGCUCCUCCUUCCUGAUGAACCGUAAUGCCAUUAAUUUGGUGUUGCGGGGAAACUGGACUGUUACUUUGAAAAAAAUUAGAGUGUUUAAAGCAGGCUAACGCUUGAAUACAUUAGCAUGGAAUAAUGAAAUAGGACGUUCGAUCUUAUUUUUGUUGGUUUCUAGGAUUGACGUAAUGAUUAAUAGGGGAUAGUUGGGGGGCAUUAGUAUUCAAUUGUCAGAGGUGAAAUUCUUGGAUUUAUUGAAGACUAACUACUGCGAAAGCAUUUUGCCAAGGAUGUUUUCAUUAAUCAAGAACGAAAGUUAGGGGAUCGAAGACGAUCAGAUACCGUCGUAGUCUUAACCAUAAACUAUGCCGACUAGGGAUCGGAUGAUGUUAAUUUUUUUAAUGACUCAUUC
rnacentral:rRNA from 1 species